AGAGCAACUGAUUUGUAAUCAGUAGGUUGUAGGUUCGAUUCCUAUUGUCGGCACCA
rnacentral:tRNA from 1 species